GUUAAUGCUCCCUCUGAGGCAAGCUACCCGAAGGGGCAACUGGAACUUAAUGCAAUGCGCUUGGCAGAUGUCUUCUCAGAUGAUUCAAAUUUUAGGUCAUUCAUCAUGAUAAACUUUGAGCUUGGAAAGGAGUGGACAGAACAACUAGCUUCCUAUAUUGGACUCUCAAACCAAAUGAAAUGCAUGUAUUUGGUGUAUAGUGUGUGGAUCUGUUUAUAGUGUUUGUAAUAUAUGUAUAAUGUGUGUAGUGCAUGUGUUUUCUUAGCAUGCA